GACGAACGCUGGCGGCGUGCUUAACACCUGCAAGUCGAACGACGUGGCGAACGGGUGAGUCAUACGUUGGUAACCUGCCCUCCUUUUUGGGAUAAGCCUUGGCAACUGGGUCUAAUACCGAAUAAAGGGGUCUGGGCUCGCGGCCUAUCAGCUUGUUGGUGGGGUGAUGGCCUACCAAUGCGGUGACGGGUAGCCGGCCUGAGAGGGUGAGCGGCAACAUAGAGACGGAGAUACGGCAGAGACUAGUACGGGAGGGAGCAGAGGGGGAUAGUGCAAAAUGGACGAGAGAGAGAUGCAGCGAAGCAGCGUGGGGGAUGAAGGUUGUGGGGUUGAAAAACUCUUUUGCGAUCGAACGGGUAGGUGGAGAAGAAGAGCAGGCUAACUACGUGCCAGCAGCCGCGGUAAUAC
rnacentral:rRNA from 1 species